rnacentral:misc_RNA from 1 species
UGCGAUUAUAACGGUUUCAAAUUUCUCGAGCAACACGCGUUAAUAAAAUAAAAAAAUAGUUAAAGUGAUUAAAUAGAAUUCAUUAGAAGAUUUUUAGAGAAAAAUAAAUAUAUUACAAUCAAAGUUAAUCAUAAAAGUGCGUAUAUUAAAUAAAAUUAACUAAUAUUGCAAACUAUGUGAAUAAAAAACAUUCCACAACACGGCCAUUUUGAAAUGUUUGCAAAAAAAGUUUAUAUGUGAAUUUCAUAAGUCUCAACAAUAAUAAUGGAUUGCAAUAAUACUGUAAAGGAUUUGGAACGCUUGGAAGAGCAAAUUUUUUACUAUAAACCCUCCCUUAAGUCUACGGAUCAGAGACAAAAUGUAAGUAAUUGUCUGCGCAACCAGUUAAUUGAUUCUAAAGCCGUUGUCCGGAUUCAACGUAUGGAUGCAGAAUGUGAGAAUUUAAUGAUAAGUCUGAAGCAGAGAUUAAUGUUAUUACAAGAUAUUUUAAUGCCAAAGGCCAAGGAGCGGCAAUUGUCACGCCAUGAAAAUGAGUUAAAGGACAAUGAGGAAGUAUUGAAAUUAAAUUUAUCCUCCGACUCCAGUGAUGACGAAACGUUAAGUAGCAUAAAGGCCAAACAAAGACAAGCAGAUUUGCAAAGAAUAGGAAUAGCUAAAAAGGGUAAAAUGAAAUCAAUUGAAGCACAGCUGGCUGAUACUUCGGAACCUAAUGAUUCUUAUUUACCCCUGGCAUUGCGUCGGAAACCAAGAGAAAGAAAACUAAGUUAUAAAAGUUUCAGUAGCUCAGCUUCUACCUCGCAUUCGCACAAUAAACGCACUACCAAAUUACAAAAUAAACAGGAACACACGGUCACUACUUCGGGAGUGGCAUUUCAUAGCGACGAAAUGUUAUUGGAGCAGGAAGAAGUAGAUACAACUCCUACGUUGCAUAUAAAAAUUCCCUCUUUACAUCGUGGUAAUGUACAUUAUAUUAUUUUAGAUAGUUUGAACUUUGCCCGUAAAGUUUUCGAUUAUCGGGCCAAUGAAAUUAAACAACAACAGCAGCAGAAAGCUUCCAUUACUCAUACGACAAGCAAAUCAACAAAAUCACGUAAAAAACAGGUAAAAUCUCUACCCUCAACAGUUGUUGAGCAAUUGACACAUCAAGACCAGGAAUUAGAAUUGUCGCAACUAAUACAAGAUGUUAUGGCUGAAGCUUGUAAUGAUGAGACUCUACAGGCCACAAAUGCUUUGGAAAAUAUUAACAAUAAUAUUAUAGAUAAUUAUGAUCCUAUAGGAAAUGAUAAUUUCAUCAACUACUCACAGUCUUCACAAGAGUUAACAUUUUCACAAAAUUCAAAUAUUAUAGUUGAUACUGUCUGCAGUACUAGUGGCGCUAAUAGUUCACACAAAAAGCCGCGUAAAAAUUCUAAACGUACAAACGAACAGCAGCAACAGCUACACGAUGAACCUCCCAAAAAAAGAGGACGUAAACCGAAAAAGAAAAAUGCUUCCGAUGAUCUACAGUUGCAACCACAACCACCCACUAAAAGUAAUUUGGCUAAAUAUGUAGAAUUUUUUGCAAAUGAUUGUGAGCUAUUGCCAGGUUCAACUACACCAGCUGCUUCAUCAACCCGUUCACAACCUUUAGUUUCAUCAACUACCCAUAAUUUUGAAGUUAUAGAUCAACUUGCUCCACAACAGCAACAACAUGAACAACAAAAUUCUCAGCAACAGCAGCCUAUAACGUAUUAUAUUGAUGGUGAUUGGGCUAAUGGUGGUCCUUGUCAAUUGGUUGCUACCAAUGGUAUGUCCGUCGAUACCAGACAGCUGAAUCAAGAAGAUAUGAAUGCUCCUUUUCAGGAUUUUGUUAAUUACAUUGACAAUAGUAGCGACUCGGGUAAUAAUGUUAUAGCCCGUGUUCUAGAGAACAACAACAGUUUACCCAUUUCAAUACCACUGCCCAUAGCAAAUCGCGGACUUCAAAAUAAAAAUCAAUCUCAAGCACCACCUACACGCCCAAUACAACAAACCAUACAAGCUUCAUAUGUACCCGUUAUAAAUAUACAAAUUCCCAGUUUACCAAACAACAUAACUAGUCCAACUGCCCCACCACCAGCUCACACCCAUAAAGAUGUUCUAGAUCUUAGUGUUAAAUCAAAGCCCAAUACCAAUAUUAUCACUAGCGAAGUAUUAAAUCUUAAUCAAAUAUCAAAUAACUUGGAAAAUUCCUGCUUAGUCGAAGAGGAUGACUGCGUGCCAUUGGAUCUGUCAGCAAAAAGUACAAAUGCAAAAAAACAAAUUACCGAUAAUAAUCAUGUUACUAUUGAUAAGCAAGAUGAGGAUUUUAUACGACGUCUUAUAGAACAAAAUGAUUUUGAAUAUUCUGCGGAUGCAAUGAAAAAAGGUGCUGAGGAUGCUCCAGCAUUAUCUUAUGAUAGUAGUAAAUCGUUUAAAGCGGCUUUGGAUAUGCCAUUAUUAGAUUUUGAUGCCACCGAUUUGGCACAGUUGGUGGAAAAUACAACAACAGCAAGUAGUAAAGAAGCGGAAAACUUAACAGAUAAAAUCGUUUACAAUAAUUCCCCAAAUAAUGAAGAUUCCAAUUAUGUCACCAUGUCUGCAGUAAACUCAUCUAUAGAAACUAAUCUACACUUUACAGAUCAAUCUACUACAGAAAUUUUCAAUAAGUUAUUAGAUAUCUGUCCAGAUAAUCAAUUUUUGGAUAAUAUAAGCAGUGAAUUCAUUUCGAAUGAUAAUUUAAACGAAAGUGUAUUUGAUCACUGUAGAGUAGAGAAUUCAACAAUGUAUGAAUCAGUAAAUCAAAAGCAAAACAGCAUUUGUGAUACAACCUCACAAAAGGAUAAUCAAGAUACAGAUAAUAGUACAUCAAUCGAUGAACCUUCUUCAUCUACUUCUACUUCUUUAGCCGUUCAAAUCGACAGUUCUAAUAAAACUUCUUCUAUAGAUUUAAAUAUUUCAAUGUCUUCUGAUAUGUCAGUUAAUUUUAAAUUUUGCGAUAAUAAUGAUCAGCAGGAGUUUAAAGAUGCUAAAGUAGAUAAAUCUGAAAAUUUAAAUAAAAGUGAAAAUGAAAAAGUUUGCAUAGAUCCAAAGACAACUACUACGAUAGAUGAGCACAAAGAAGUUCAGUUACAAGAUACAGAAAAAACUUUAGAAAAUAAUAAUAAAAAUGAAAAGUGUUUAAAUAAUUCACUAAAUAAUAAUAAUAUAAAUAAAGAUAAAACUAAACAUCUAGUUAACAAAAAAGCUAAUUCUGAAAAUUGUGAAAAAUCUGUAGCUGAUGAAAUAUCUAAUAAUAUCGAAAAAGUAAUAAAUAAUAAAAGUUUACAAAAAAGCCAAGAAAAUAUUACAAAAGUUGAAUCUGCUCCGGAAAAUGUUGACGAUAAAUGUUUAUCUAAAACAUGUGAAAUUAAAAUUGAUGAAAAAAUUAGUAUAGAUGUUGCAAAUACCAAAAAAGUAGCAAAUAAAUGUACUAAAGAUGUAAACCAUAACAAUAAAUCUAUGCUGGACACUUCUCACCAUCAAACCAUAUCUAAACCCAAAGAGAAUAUUGUAUUUUCGGUAGCAAAGAUAACUUUAACCGAAGAUGAUAUUUUGUAUAGCACCGAUAGUAGUGAUACCGCUAGUGGAAAAUCAUGUGAUGUUAACGAAGCGAAACCAAUGGAUAUUGACAACGAGAUAAAGGAAUCACAAGAUUUAAAUAAUAAAAAAGAAAAUACUAUUCACGAAAAUGAAAAGAAAGAUACAACAACUAAAAAACUAAAUCAAGAGAAGGAGAGUAAUAAUACAAAAUCUAAAGAAGCUGUGUGCAUAGAUAAUGCAACAAUAAAUUCUUCUAGUUAUUGCAAUGAAAUAGUAAAUCUAAGUCUUAGUGUAGAAAACGAUAACAAAACUUCUAGUGCAGAAAGAGAUGCAGUAAUGAAAGAUCUAACUAUUGCAAAUAUAAAAAAUACAAUUAUAGAUAAAGAACCUAAAUAUACCGACAAUGAUAAUGAACAUUCCAAUGAUUCCGUUAUAAGCUGUUAUUACAAUGAUGAUUUUAAUCUUUUAGCCAAUGAAAUGAAAACUAAUCAAAGUUCUUUUAAUGAUGUCAUGAAUUUGAGUGUUUCUUCUUUAAAAAAUACUAAUGAAAGUAGUGAGGAAGUUAUUUUAAAUAUUCACAAUACCGAUGAUGAGGAUGAUGUUCUAUUGAAUGCUGAAAAUAAUACGAAUUUGGAGAAUAAUGCUAAAAAAGAUAAAUCUCAAAAUAAAGAGGACAAAAUCGUUGAGUUGGAUAUAAAUCAAGAAAAUUUAACUCUCUUAGAAUUGGAAUCUAAAUUGGAAGAUUCUUUAGAUUUUGAUGAAGAUUUCGAUGAUGCUUUAUCGUUGGCUACUUCGUGUUUUGACUCACCAAAUGAAGAUCGUUUUGGGGAUUCAAUUGUUGACGUUGAUGAUACCACAAUAACCAGUGUCCCAAAAACAGCAGCACAGGAAGUGGCACAAAAUACUGAAAAAACUAAUACUACUUCAGCAACCAAAGAUUUAAAACAUUUCAAAAUACCUAAACUUAAUAUAACAACAACAACAAAGACACAAGAUUUCGAAAAUGAACCAACACAAACAAAACAAAAUACCACAAUAACAACAAAUACUGUGCCAAAAAUACAACUACUUACAAAUAUGGAAAAACUAACUAGAACGGUUAAAAAUGAUUUAAUACAAUCUCAAGAAAAUCCUAAAGAUAUUAAUUUAACAACAAAUUCUGAACAUGUAACAACUACAUCAGCUAUAGUUGAAAUAAUAUCUAAAGUUUUUGGUAUAACCUGUUUGCCUUAUUUGAUUGACAAAUGUUUUGCCAUAACACAUUGUCAAUUAUCACAUCAAUUUAACGAUAGUGAUACAGUUUAUCAAUAUUUAAAUACAUUAGACAAAUUCACAGUAAACUUGGCCUAUCGCGUUCUCUAUAAUCAUUCGAAACUUUUUAUUAUAUAUUUUAAAGUAUUUUGUGCUUAUUACACAACUAAAAAUGAUCGCUCGAAGUUGCUGAAUAUGUUAAAUGAUUGUGAACGUUAUCCUGAAUAUGCGGAAUAUAUGAUGGACAUAUAUGAGUCAUUAGUUAAAUGUGGAUUCAGUCGUGUUAAUGCCUGCCGACAAAUAUUAAAACGUAUACGUGAAUUGACCUCGGACACGACUAUUAUAGAUGUGCUGAUCGCCAUAAUAAUGAAAUCAGAUUGGACAAUGUUUACGGAUUUUAUAGAGAAAUAUACACAAGAAAUGUAUAAAUAUAAUUAUCGUAUUGGUAUUCUAGAACAAAUGGCUCCGGCAGUGUUAAAUAGCAAAGGACCACAUCUAAAGCAGGUCUUUGGAAAAUGUGUACAAACAUUACAUUGUGAUGAAACAGGUCUUUUGCUUAAUUCUCCCAGUCUUAUACAAUGUGUGGCUCUACUAACCACCACCGCCGCCACCACCAGCAUUACGUAAUAAAUUGGCGAAAACUCAAUGCAAAAGAAUUUUUACUUUAUUAUUUUAUUUUAUGCCAUUAAGACGACCAAGCAAGAGAUGUACAAAAAACAAACGACGACGAAUUACCUUAUGGAAAGGUAUUUAUUUAAUUAAU